rnacentral:rRNA from 1 species
UACGUAGGGUGCAAUCGUUGUCCGGAUUUACUGGGUUUAAAGGGUGCGCAGGCGGCCGAUUAAGUCAGUGGUGAAAUCCCGCCGCCCAACGGCGGAUGUGCCAUUGAUACUGGUCGGCUUGAGUGCGCCAGAGGCAAGCGGAAUUCGUGGUGUAGCGGUGAAAUGCAUAGAUACCACGAGGAACACCGAUAGUGAAGACAGCUUGCCGGGGCGCAACUGACGCUCAUGCACGAAAGCGCGGGUAUCAAACAGG